UCACAGUUAUCUCGCGUAAGCUGGUAUUGAAGCUUAUAAUGUCUACCGUUCAAGAUAGAAGUAUCGGUUAUCUUACCAUGUGAAAUCACCACUCUGACAUACACCACAACAGAACAAAUCAACAGCUGCUGUGCACAGUCCCUGGCCGUACCGUACCUGCACACUACUCAUCGCAUACGUAUCACACGGUGCUAAACUAACAGAGAAUGAGUUACAAAUGCAUACGAAGCAGCAUCCGUAUUGAUAUGGAGAUGGGCUGGAAUCCUGACGCUCCUCAUCUCAAUCUCUGAAUUUCUUAGGAUUAUCUGCUCUCUAAACUCGCCUGCGCUCUGUUUAAAUUAUCGCCACCCAAAGUAUCACAGGGUGAUGUACGUCUGAGAUUGACUGGAUGAGAUUAGUUGUCGGUUAAUACUCAAGCAGUUGACUACCUAGAAGGGGAUAAGAAUUAGCCUGACCGGCAGAGAUACGUUUUUGAUUAAAGUGCUGUACAGAAGCUCAGUGCAUGGACUUUGUGUUUUGCAAGAGCCAAUAUGAUCUUCUGGGAGAUCUCUUUUACGGGAUGCUCAGCUAGUGUGAUGGAGUAAAUUAGCAAGAUUGCAGGAGAUCGGCCUAUCUAUUCAUGCCCAAAACCCAUGGCUUGGUGAGCCUCAUACCGUGGAGCAGUGCCUGGGUGACCUGCGAGGUGAAUGGGAAUGUCUGCUAUGGAGCCUUUGGCAUGUUACGCGUGCAAUCGUCUGUCCGGGCAGACACUCGUUUUGGCAGCCGCCGCGGGAUAGACAUCCACACUGACACCACACAACAAUAGGAUUAGGAACUAAACUUAGGGUGUAAGAUGGAAAUAUAGAACGUAAGUAC